UACGUAGGGCGCAAGCGUUGUCCGGAAUUAUUGGGCGUAAAGAGCUCGUAGGCGGUCUGUCGCGUCCGUUGUGAAAACUCGAGGCUCAACCUCGGGCUUGCAGUGGAUACGGGCAGACUAGAGUGCGGUAGGGGAGACUGGAAUUCCUGGUGUAGCGGUGGAAUGCGCAGAGUAUCAGGAGGAACACCGAUGGCGAAGGCAGGUCUCUGGGCCGCAACUGACGCUGAGGAGCGAAAGCAUGGGGAGCGAACAGG
rnacentral:rRNA from 1 species